UUUGACCGCCUUAUCAGGCGUUUCCUCCCUAAACUCGGGCCGCGGCUGUAUAGCUAGCGGCCUUUUUCUUUUUACGC
rnacentral:sRNA from 1 species